UACGUAGGGUGCGAGCGUUAAUCGGAAUUACUGGGCGUAAAGCGUGCGCAGGCGGUCUGUUAAGACCGAUGUGAAAUCCCCGGGCUUAACCUGGGAACUGCAUUGGUGACUGGCAGGCUUUGAGUGUGGCAGAGGGGGGUAGAAUUCCACGUGUAGCAGUGAAAUGCGUAGAGAUGUGGAGGAAUACCGAUGGCGAAGGCAGCCCCCUGGGCCACACUGACGCUCAUGCACGAAAGCGUGGGGAGCAAACAGGG
rnacentral:rRNA from 1 species